AUCCCCAGAUACAAUGGACAAUAUGCUAUUAUAAUUGUAUGGCAUUGUCCUUGCUGUUUGGAGAUAA
ensembl:miRNA